GACGAACCGUGCGAACGUUAUUCGGAAUCACUGGGCUUAAAGCGCGUGUAGGCGGGACGGCACGUCGGUCGCUGAAAGCCCCCGGCUCAACCGGGGAACGGGCGCCGAUACGACCGUCCUGGAGGGACGUAGGGGGACUUGGAACAUCCGGUGGAGCGGUGAAAUGCGUUGAGAUCGGAUGGAACGCCCGUGGCGAAAGCGAGGUCCUGGACGUUUUCUGACGCUGAGACGCGAAAGCCAGGGGAGCGAACGGGG
rnacentral:rRNA from 1 species